rnacentral:lncRNA from 1 species
AUAGAAAUCUUGAUUAACAAACAAAGGUAAGUUUUUACGGCUUGUGAUGAGUUAAUUAUUAAUCCAUGAAAGUGUUGAUCGUGUACAAACACCGUUAAAAAUGUCUCUAAUCAGUUGUGUAGGGUUUAACGCAGGUCAUUUUGUUCUUGUUUAGAAAAAUGAUCUGGUCAACAAUUUCAGACGAAAGACUGUUUGACUUUCUAUUUUUGUUUCAAUAAAUGUAUAUGAAAAAAUUCCCUCGGAAGGAAAGGACGUUGCCGGUACUACUAUAACAAAAAGUAG